rnacentral:rRNA from 1 species
AUUGAACGCUGGCGGCAGGCCUAACACAUGCAAGUCGAACGAGUGGCGGACGUGUGUGUAAUAUGUGGGAAACUCCCUGAUGGAGGGGGAUAACUACGAGAAACUGUAUCUAAUACCGCAUACUAGCAUAUGUGCACAGAUGGGAUUAGAUUGUUGGUGGGGUAACGGCGCACCAAGGCGACGCUCCCUCGCGGGUCUGAGAGGAUGACCAGCCACACGGGGACUGAGACACGGCCCAGACUCCUACGGGAGGCAGCAGUGGGGAAUAUUGCACAAUGGGCGCAAGCCUGAUGCAGCCAUGCCGCGUGUAUGAAGAAGGCCUUAGGGUUGUAAAGUACUUUCAGCCGGGAGGCGUUACCGACAGAAGAAGCACCGGCUAACUCCGUGCCAGCAGCCGCGGUAAUAC